rnacentral:rRNA from 1 species
AGUCGAACGGUGAAGCCAAGCUUGCUUGGUGGAUCAGUGGCGAACGGGUGAGUAACACGUGAGCAACCUGCCCUGGACUCUGGGAUAAGCGCUGGAAACGGCGUCUAAUACUGGAUAUGAGACGUGAUCGCAUGGUCGUGUUUGGAAAGAUUUUUCGGUCUGGGAUGGGCUCGCGGCCUAUCAGCUUGUUGGUGAGGUAAUGGCUCACCAAGGCGUCGACGGGUAGCCGGCCUGAGAGGGUGACCGGCCACACUGGGACUGAGACACGGCCCAGACUCCUACGGGAGGCAGCAGUGGGGAAUAUUGCACAAUGGGCGGAAGCCUGAUGCAGCAACGCCGCGUGAGGGAUGACGGCCUUCGGGUUGUAAACCUCUUUUAGCAGGGAAGAAGCGAAAGUGACGGUACCUGCAGAAAAAGCGCCGGCUAACUACGUGCCAGCAGCCGCGGUAAUACGUAGGGUGCAAGCGUUGUCCGGAAUUAUUGGGCGUAAAGAGCUCGUAGGCGGUUUGUCGCGUCUGCUGUGAAAUCCCGAGGCUCAACCUCGGGCUUGCAGUGGGUACGGGCAGACUAGAGUGCGGUAGGGGAGAUUGGAAUUCCUGGUGUAGCGGUGGAAUGCGCAGAUAUCAGGAGGAACACCGAUGGCGAAGGCAGAUCUCUGGGCCGUAACUGACGCUGAGGAGCGAAAGCGUGGGGAGCGAACAGGAUUAGAUACCCUGGUAGUCCACGCCGUAAACGUUGGGCGCUAGAUGUAGGGACCUUUCCACGGUUUCUGUGUCGUAGCUAACGCAUUAAGCGCCCCGCCUGGGGAGUACGGCCGCAAGGCUAAAACUCAAAGGAAUUGACGGGGGCCCGCACAAGCGGCGGAGCAUGCGGAUUAAUUCGAUGCAACGCGAAGAACCUUACCAAGGCUUGACAUACACCGGAAACGGCCAGAGAUGGUCGCCCCCUUGUGGUCGGUGUACAGGUGGUGCAUGGUUGUCGUCAGCUCGUGUCGUGAGAUGUUGGGUUAAGUCCCGCAACGAGCGCAACCCUCGUUCUAUGUUGCCAGCGCGUUAUGGCGGGGACUCAUAGGAGACUGCCGGGGUCAACUCGGAGGAAGGUGGGGAUGACGUCAAAUCAUCAUGCCCCUUAUGUCUUGGGCUUCACGCAUGCUACAAUGGCCGGUACAAAGGGCUGCGAUACCGUAAGGUGGAGCGAAUCCCAAAAAGCCGGUCUCAGUUCGGAUUGAGGUCUGCAACUCGACCUCAUGAAGUCGGAGUCGCUAGUAAUCGCAGAUCAGCAACGCUGCGGUGAAUACGUUCCCGGGCCUUGUACACACCGCCCGUCGGAGUCAUGAAAGUCGGUAACACCCGAAGCCGGUGGCCUAACCCUUGUGGAAGGAGCCG